AGGGAAAGCAAGGCGCUCCAGGGUUCAAGGGACGGCCUGGACCGCAAGGCAUGCAGGGUGAAGCUGGUGCUUGUGGGCCUCCUGGUGGCAAAGUAUUCCCUGGUUUACCUGGUCCAACUGGAAGGAAGGGUAUGAAAGGAGUUCAGGGAAUAUCAGGACAGAAAGGUGUGAAAGGUCGGAGAGGACUUCCUGGAAAACCAGGUAUUCCCGUCCAGCAGAUACCAGGGCAUCAUACUCCACCUCAUGCUCCAAGAAGAGGAUCA